GUUGGAGUUAAUAUUCGACAUGUUGACGACAGACGGACAACAGUAUUCCAUAAUACGUCCUGUAAACGAGCGUAUAAAAAUAUAUUGAGUAGUAAACACAUUCUUGAUACAUAAUUUUAAAAACAUGUUCAUAGAAAAUGGAAUUCAUUACAAAGGAUUAUACCCGUAACAAGAAUUACUGGAUUUGUGAAGGUCCCGACUUAUUUUAAU
rnacentral:lncRNA from 1 species